rnacentral:rRNA from 1 species
CCGCCUGGGGAGUACGGCCGCAAGGCUAAAACUCAAAGGAAUUGACGGGGCCCGCACAAGCGGCGGAGCAUGCGGAUUAAUUCGAUGCAACGCGAAGAACCUUACCAAGACUUGACAUAUUCAGGAAAACUGCAGAAAUGUAGACCCCCGCAAGGGUCUGUUUACAGGUGGUGCAUGGUUGUCGUCAGCUCGUGUCGUGAGAUGUUGGGUUAAGUCCCGCAACGAGCGCAACCCUCGUCCUAUGUUGCCAGCACGUUAUGGUGGGAACUCAUGGGAGACCGCCGGGGUCAACUCGGAGGAAGGUGGGGAUGACGUCAAAUCAUCAUGCCCCUUAUGUCUUGGGCUUCACGCAUGCUACAAUGGCCGGUACAAAGGGCUGCAAUACCGCAAGGUGGAGCGAAUCCCAAAAAGCCGGUCUCAGUUCGGAUUGAGGUCUGCAACUCGACCUCAUGAAGUCGGAGUCGCUAGUAAUCGCAGAUCAGCAACGCUGCGGUGAAUACGUUCCCGGGCCUUGUACACACCGCCCGUCAAGUCACGAA